ACUUAUAUAUUAUAAAAAUUAUAUUUGACUUCCAAUCAAAAAAUCUAGUACCCUAGUAUAAGUA
rnacentral:tRNA from 1 species